rnacentral:rRNA from 1 species
GGAGUCUGGGCCGUAUCUCAGUCCCAGUGUGGCCGUACACCCUCUCAGGCCGGCUACCCGUCGUCGCCUUGGUGGGCCCUUACCCCCCAACUAGCUGAUAGGUCACGAGCACCUCCAUCAGCACGUCUCCGCUUUAACCUCUCGGCCUAUGGGGUAUUAGCGUCCGUUUCCAAACGUUGUCCCCCACUGAUAGACAGCUUCUCAUGUUGUACUCACCCGUCCGCCGCUCCGUUAUAGCCUUCCACAUCUCUGCUUCCAACUAUGCGUCGCUCAACUUGCAUGUGUUACGCACGCCGCCAGCGUUCAUC